rnacentral:rRNA from 1 species
AUUGAACGCUGGCGGCAGGCCUAACACAUGCAAGUCGAACGAGUGGCGGACGGGUGAGUAAUGUCUGGGAAACUGCCUGAUGGAGGGGGAUAACAAUUGGAAACAGUAGCUAAUACCGCAUACCGUUGUCUCUGCUGAGAUGGGAUUAGCUAGUAGGUGGGGUAAAGGCUAAACAAGGAGACGAUCCCCAGCUGGUCUGACAGGUUGACCAGCCACACUGGAACUGAGACACGGCCCAGACUCCUACGGGAGGCAGCAGUGGGGAAUAUUGCACAAUGGGCGAAAGCCUGACCCAGCAACGCCGCGUGUGUGAAGAAGGUUUUCGGGUGGUAAAGCUCUUUUGGCGGGGAGGCGUUACUCGCACAGGAAGCACCGGCUAACUCCGUGCCAGCCGCCGCGGUAAUUC